UCCUAGUCUCUGUGCUCCCUUCUCUCUGUGCCAGUUUGCCAUUGUUCGCAGUAACAAGUGUUCCAGCAUUCUUCCUAGUGUUUGUAUUUUCUGUGUGACUCUGUUUCUGUUUUUGGACCUCAUCUAGCCCUUUUGUUUUUGUUUGCUUGUUCCUGACUGCCUGCCUGUGUACCAACCUUCGUCUCAGUAAAGAAUUUUGCAGAGGCCAUCCUGGAUUGUGUGAUACGACAGGUCUACAGAUACAUGAGAACCAGCGGCACCUUUUCUUCCACCAAACUCAGAGUAACUGAGGACCGAAUCCAUGCCUACUUGGGGGAUUUUAUUGGACAGGCACUGACGUCUGUGUGACUUCCAUCAGAGACCUUAAAGAUACGGCUUGUCAGAUGGCCCUCAUACUGAUGGCAGCCCUCAAUCCUAAGAAGCAAGCUGAAGUGGUGACCGAAGCUCAGUCACGUCCGACCUCAUCGUGUGAGCCCAACGCAGAAGUGGAGUCCCCCAUAUUCUGUUUGAAUUCCAGACAUGACCUAACAAAAUAGAACACUUUAGGAAAGAAGAAGAUCACCUGAGGGAACAAACAAAGCAACACCAGUGUCCACUCAUGUGUAGUAGCUGCCUCCAUCAGGAAGAAGUGCUCCUCCUUAUGGAAGAUUUUCUCCUCCAUUACUAGAGUAAUGAGCAAAAACCAUUCAUUGCUUGCUUCAUCCCAGAGAGCCAGUAAAGCUCCAGCAUGGAUGGGACUUUGGACCUGCAAAUGGCUAUAGAGUUGUGAAGUUCCAGCCCACUUCUGGCUGAUCAGAUGCGAAUCUAGGGCUCAGGACUGUUUGGAAAGGUUAGCAAAGCAUCAGGCCAAGAGUGGUGCACAACAGAAAAGAUGUGCAGCAGCUUUGAUGUUUGUCCAAUGCAACUACAGGAGAGGAGCCACUACAGGGACUGGAGGAGAGGAGCAGUCCUAGGACCAUUGAAGGAGAGGAAGAGUCCUAGGCCCACUGAAAGAGAGGAGAAGUCCCAGGCCCAUUGGAGAAGAAGAGUCAUACCAUGCCCACUGGAGGCAUGGUAUUUUAUGCAACAGUUGUGCUAUAAUGUUAUUGGGGAAAUCCUUGCAGCAUUAAAUGAACAAAUUAU